AAUCUGCUCAGCUGCUAACAGCCAUGAGUGACUGAGAACACUUGUUAAAUAUAGCCCAGGCAGACUCUGCUACACUCAAAGCUCUACACUCUCCUGCCCAGGAACAAAAGGGAAAAGGCAGGGUCCUGGCACCUGACAAAGGCUAUAUUCCACAUUUCUACCCUCCUUUCCAUCUUACUUUGGAUAUCUCCGUUUGAAGGAAAAUCGGACUUUUCAGACAAAAGCAGCUCUGACCACCUCCUCUUGUUUGCUUCUCUCUCUCUCUCUCUCUCUCUCUCUCUCUCUCUCUCUCUCUCUCUCUCUUUUCUCUCUCAUCCUCUCAGUUUGUGAAAGACUCUGCCGGCCCAAACUUCUGGAGAGGACAAAGCUUGGUGUUCAUCUUCAGACGCCUCUUGCAUUGCCUCUGUUGCCUUGACAGGAGAGAAGAGGGGAAACAAGUUAUUAAAAGAGAAAAGUAAGAGGUGAGAGUAUAGAUCAUCUACAUUUGAUAUGUCUCUUUUUGACACACACAGUCAAGGUAACUGAAGAACACAGACAUUGAGGAGAGACAUUUUACUCUGGGACUUGAUUCUCAGUAACUGAGAUAUUCCUUUUUGACCUGUCGUCACCUGUGAUGUGGUACCAUUGAGAACAGGUGAGAAUGCGGUCCAGGUGCAGCACAGCCAUGGAGGGCCCAGACGACGGACAGAUAAACCAUGUCACCCAGCCCACCAAAGCCUUCCCAAAAGAGGGGGAGAACACACCAGAGCUGGUGAAGAGGAAAAUGAAGGUCCAGAGAGAAGAGAAAGAGGGGAAGUCAGUGGUGUCUGGAUCAGCGAAAAGGCCCCAGACAACCACAGAGAGCAGCAGAGGACAAAAGAAGGCAGCAGGGCUGACAGAUCUCUCUAAGGAGGACCUUCUCCGUCUGCUGGGAGUCAUGGAAGGAGAGGUGCAGGCCAGAGAGGAUAUCAUCCACAUGCUGAAGUCAGAGCGUCCGCGACCCAAAGCCCUGGAGGCCCAUUACGGCUCAGCUACCCCCAUCAAACCCCUCCAGGCCUUGCAGAGAGACAGCCUUCUGACCAACACUACAAUGCUUGGGGAUAACGUCUAUGAGAUGCCCAUGCAAGAGUUGGACCGGCUGGAGGACAAGCAUCGCGAGACGUACAGGCGUAUGCUGGAGCAGCUGCUGCUGGCCGAGAAGUGUCACCGCCGCACGGUUAAUGAGCUGGAUAGCGAGAAACGCAAACACACAGACUUCAUGAACAAGAGUGAUGACUUCACCAACCUGCUGGAGCAGGAGAGGGAGAGAUUAAAGAGGCUGCUGGAGCAGGAGAAGGUGUACCAGGCUCGUAAAGACAAAGAUCACAGCAGGAGGCUAGAGAAGGUCCGUGAGGAGCUGGUCAAACUCAAGUCCUUUGCCCUGAUGCUGGUGGAUGAGCGGCAGCUCCACAUUGAGCAAAUCGACCAGCAGAGCCAGAAGGUCCAGGACCUCAGCAGCAAGCUCCAGGAGCGAGAACAGCGUCUGGCCGCUGUACGCGGCACUGCCAAGGAAGACGGCCAGAAGGUCCUCAGGCUAGAGGCGGAGCUGGAGUGCAAAGCUGCCAAGUUCACCCAGGAGCAUGAGGAGAUGACUGCCAAGCUGGCCAACCAGGAUUCCCAGAGCCGUCAGCUCCGCCUGAAGCUGUCAGGCCUGGCCCACCGGAUCGAGGAGCUGGAGGAGAACAACAAGGCACUACAGAAGUCAGAGGAGGACCUCCUCGAGCUAAGGGACAAGAUCAGCAAGGGGGAGUGUGGGAACUCCAGCCUCAUGGCGGAGCUGGAGACCCUGCGCAAGAGAGUCCUGGAGAUGGAGGGCAAGGAUGAGGAGAUCACCAAGACAGAGAGCCAAGCCAGAGAGUUAAGGAAAAGGCUGCAGGACGAGGAGACCACCGGCCGGGAGCUGAGGCUGGAGGUGGAGAAACUGCAGAAGAGAAUGGUGGAUCUGGAGAAACUGGAGAGGGCUUUCAACACGAGCAAAUCAGAGUGUGCAACACUUCAUAUUAACUUAGAAAGAGAGAAAGGACUGGCAAAGGACUUGGUUGGUGAGCUGGACAUGGUGAAAAACCGUGUGAAAGAACUGGAGAACUCUGAGUCAAGAUUUGAGAAGGCAGAGAUGGGCCUAAAGGAUGACCUGAAGAAGCUGAAGUCAUUUACAGUGAUACUAGUGGAUGAGAGAAGGAACAUGACUGAGAGAAUAAAACAGGAGGAGCAAAAGAGCGAUGAUUUAAAUAAAAUGUUCAAAACUGAGCAGAGUAAAGUUAUGGAGGUCACAGAAAAGUUGAUUGAGGAGAGCAAAAAGCUCCUCAGACUGAAAUCAGAAAUGGAGUUAAAAGUGACAUCUCUUACUAAAGAGAAAGAUGAACUGAAAAGUAAACUAGCAAGUGAAGAGGAAAAGUGCAGGGAUCUUAGCUCCAAGGUCGGUGUAAUGAAAAAACGAAUGGAUGGGCUAGAGGAGGCAGAAAAGGUAUUGUUAAAAAUCAGAGCCAAUAAGGACAGCAAGAGACCCCCAGACGAGGAAAACAAAUUCAAGGAGCUAACGCAGGAAAUUGAAAGGCUAAAAAACCGUCUCAAACAGCUUGAGGUGGUGGAAGGUGACCUGAUGAAGACAGAGGACGAGUACGACUUACUGGAGAAGAAGUUUCGAAUGGAGCAGGACAAGGCCAAUGCCCUCUCUCAGCUGCUGGAGGAAAUGAAGAGUCAGACUGCCAGGAACAAAGCCAUAGAGAAGGGAGAGGCGGUGAGCCAGGAGGCUGAGCUGAGGAUGCGCUGCAAGAUGGAGGAGGCAAAGACCAGAGACCUGCAGGCAGAUGUCCAGGCCCUCAAAGAGAAGAUCCACGAGCUGAUGAACAAGGAGGACCAGCUCUCCCAGUUGCAAGUGGACUACUCCCUACUCCAGCAGAGAUUCCUGGAGGAGGAGGACAAGAAGAAGAGCUUGAGCCAGGAAGUGAUCAACCUCGCCAAAGAGCUGGAGGUCACCAAGCGCUACAGCCGCGCCUUGCGUCCCAGUAUGAAUGGAAGGAGGAUAGUUGACGUCCCUGUCACCUCCACCGCAGUCCAGACAGACGUGGUGGUCAGUGAACCUGUCGAGGAGGACACACCUGCAGUGUUCAUCAGGAAAUCUGUCCUGGAGGAGAACCAUAUCAUGAGCAACCUGAGGCAGAGGGGUCUGAAAAAGCCUGUAACUGUGCUGGAGCGCUACCCCCCAGCAACCACUGAGCUGAGCAUGAGAAAAUCAUGGAUCCCCUGGAUGAAGAAGAAGGAUGCAGUGACGAUCACUCAGACCACCCCAGAGAAGACCCCAAACCCUCAGGACAACGGGGACUCCUCCCCUCGUCCACCAGAGCUGUCCAUGUCACAAAAGCCAGGCCAGCCGUUGCAUAUUCGAGUAACCCCCGAUCACGAGAACAGCACUGCCACUUUGGAGAUCACCGGCCCUCGUGCUGAGGACUUCUUCUCCAGUGCCACCAUCAUCCCCACAUUGGGCCUGCAGAGGCCUCGCAUCACCAUUGUUCCCAAGCCCACUACCGUGUUCUCAAAGAGCAAGCCGGGUGAGGGCGUAAUGGGGGGGCCUGAGCGGUGCAAGUCUCCAGUCACCAUCACCACCAUCUCCAGGGCCAAGUCCCCAGAUAGGAGUAAGGGCUCCUCCUACUCAGACUCGAACAGACCCCUCUCCCCUGUCUCCAUCAUUACAGUGAGCACCACUCCUGUGACGGAGGCCUUUGCCUCCGCAUCCCCAGAGCCCCAUGACAUGAGCACCAUGGGCCGGGCUGUGUUCAAAGUGACCCCAGAGAAGCAGGCAUUGCCUAUGCCCGUCAGAAAAUACAACUCCAACGCCAGCAUAAUCACCACCACGGAGGACAACAAGAUCCACAUCCACCUGGGACCUCAGUUCAAGAGGCCAUCAGACGUCAGCAGUAGCAGCCCCACAGUGACGGUCAGGCCCCUUAGUGUGAGCACAGAGAGCAAGGAGGCACCCCCAGGUACGGUGCUGCGCUCCCCGCGUCACCCCAACAACAUCACCACCGCUCCUGGGAAGACCACCCCCAACAAAUUGACCAGCAGCAUCACCAUCACCCCCAUCACCUUGGCACCGACCAGGCCAACUCAGUCUGUGUUGCUUCUGAAAUGUUUCAAAAUGAUAUCAGGUGGUGUCUGCUCCCUAGAUAGCACUCUUUCCAGCCCGGGGCGGAUGUGCAGUCAACUCGUGCCGCAGCCACACGAAUCCCUAUGUCAAAAGGAAAUAUUGUGCACCAUGUGAUAGUUGAGCCCAGAUGAUGAGACUGUAAUGUGGAACUCCUUCCUUCACCUAUGACAAGUGCCCUGCAUCCCUACUCUACUCUUACAGUGUGCCACCGCAACCAUAGGGCCAAGCCAACAGACGACAACCAUCGGAAAACAGUCAGAACUCCGCAUGCAGACUGUCAUGGAGAUUAUUUCUAACCUCAGGGCACCUAACAAGGCUCUCUUCUCAAUUCUGUGGGCUUUCGAAUAGUAUUACCUCUUGAUUCUGGCUUACAUCACUAUGCGAAAUAGCCACAUGGAGUUGUAUAAAAGGGGUAUGCAGCGUGUACUCUACAGUAGCUCUGGUUCAGGCUGUUACGUGCGGCUUGAGCGUUCUUCAAUGGAAGUCUUGAAGACUCAAGCCGCACGUGACGCCGUUGACCCGAGCUAACGCUGCAGCGGUUUGUGUGAGAGGACAGAUACCAGUCAAAAGUUUGGAAACACCUACUCGUUCAAGGGUUUUUCUUUAUGUUAUUUUACAAUUUUCUACAUUGUAGAAUAAUAGUGAAGACAUCAAAAGUGUUACACAACUGUUACACUCUCCCUGCCUCCUCUGUGUUUGUGCUUUUACUUGCAGAUUGGGGACAGGUGGAGCUGAUUGGUCGUUAAGGUGACAUGUUUCAACUGGGUUUGGGUUCAACUAGGAGAUAAAGGUUCCUGGUGCCCAGUCCUGGCUCUCUCUCUCCAUAAGCCCCAUUUUGUUUUGUGAUCUGGUUGAUUAUGUUUUUUGAUUAGGUGCACCCUUUAACACUUACACACAUUUUUUACCUUCGUCUUCAUUACACCCCUCACAUGCCUACUUUCAUACUUCACAGGUUAGUUUGGUGGAGAGAAGACCAUGAAGUCUCUUUGUCCUGUAUUGUCUAGAGACACUUUGUUCUGUUCCUUGUUGGGUCAUCGGAUUAUGGAGGAAACUCACGGUCACCACUUCCUCCCCCUGGAACAACCAAGCCGAUCAACUGGCGCAAGCCUAUCUAUGAGCUGGACACAGACGCUGAAAAUAAUGACUUCAUCAAUGAGGACUUUAUUGUGUGGAUGCGCACAGCUGCCUUCCCCAUCUUCUGUAAGCUGUACUGUAUUAUCCAGAAGAACGUGACGCCGACUCUUCCCCGGGGCAACUACACCCUGGAAGUCACCUACAGUAUCCUUUCACAGGCAGCUGUUCAAAUGAUACAGCUGUACAGGAAGUUUGGGUUUGUGGAAUGAUGGCUUGUGAUGUAGUAUUCCAUUUUUUUUUCUCAAAUCAUUCAUUGUCAUAAUAGGUCAGACAGACCAGUUCGAUGUCCAGGCGUGUGCAGUAGGUGGCCGUUCCUUCACUUGCUAUAACAAUAGAUACCACCUGCUGGAUGUAGAUGAAUGCUGGCUUUAUUUGUCGUUUCCACUAAUAUAAACUAACAUAUUCAUAAUGAGUCCACAUUUAUUUUUUUGUAUGAUGCGUUAAGAUCAUUAUUGCUAGAGUUCUUCGGUUAGUCAGAUGUUAAAUGCUUCUGAAGUUUAAAAUUUUUCAACAUUAAUGAGUUGAUCCCAGACUAUCCUGUUCAUAGCUUUGAAGGGUGUGAUCCUGAGCACCGUCUCCUAGAUGGGGGGGGGGGGGGCAAGAACCCUUUCCUGGGCGUCGCCUACAUCACUGUGGGCUUCGUCUGCUUCUUCCUGGGGGUGGUCCUCAUCCACCACAAAUAUGGUAGCCGCAACCACAGCGCUGAUAUCCCUAACUAAAGAUGUCCUAUAGGUAUGUUGCAUGCUGGCUAGCAGAGGAUGCGGACAUAGCCAGUGGCUAAUUACAAGCUCUGGUGGUACGCUUGUGCCUGGCUUGUGUACUGUAUGUAAGAAUGGCCUGCUUGUCAAAAGUGCUGUGCAAGUAUUGGAUGAGUAGAUGUCGGAAAAGUUACGAUAAAGUGAAAGUUCUCUCGUAUUUAUUUUUCACGGUCAGGAAGUGAUGUAGUUAUGUACUGUAAGCAGUUUUGCUGUCAAGUCGUUAGUGACAGUAAGUUGAAUUAGAAUUCUCACGUCGAUGUAGCGUCAUUCAAUCACAGAUCAUUUUUAUUGCAGAAAUAUGUGCAUGUCAGUCAUGGAUGUUUACAUCUCUGAAUAAGUUAUUUAAAAGAACGUUUGCAUAUUGCCAAGCAAAUCUGAACAGUCUGUUAGGCUAGAAUUGCUUCAAGAAUCAAGUCUAUAGACUUUGUUUUCAUACAAGUAGGUUGUGUGUUACUGUACAGUAGUUUGAGGCACAUUUUUCUGGGGUUUUUACUCUGCAGAUGGGGGUCUAGCUUGUACAAGGAUGUGCACUCAUUUUCGGGGCAAGUGUUAUGGAUUGCUUGCGUUGUAUCUAUUUCUACUCUCAGUAUAUACAGUAAUGAUGUUUAGCUGCCUGGAAUGUGCAGAGCUUGAGUCAAGUUUGUCAUAUUACAAAACCUUGAAAAUGACUUUCUCAGGGACCAAAGCUUUAUUCAUGUACACCAGCCUGGGUGCCAGGCUCUUUGCUCUCUUGCCAACUCCCUAUGGAAUUGUCAUGCCAAACUUGCUUGGCAAUGGAGUAGGGAAGAGCACAAACGGAUCUGGGACCAGGCUACUGUUCAUGUUAGAACCUCCAUUUGUUUUCUUACUAAGACUGCAGCAAAUUGAAACAUGUUUUGCACUUUAGAGUUGCCAUGGAUUUAUUACCUGGAGAUUCUCUGUUGCUUCACAAAUAAAAUGUCUGAACUACU